GAGACAGUAAAUAUGCCCAGCACGUAUUUAAAAUAAAAAAGGAAUUAGAGCUAAAAAUUCCUAAGGACCAUAAAGGUCAGGGGGAUGCCACCAAAGAGACAUAACCCAAUCACCCACAUGCCUGCAGUGGGCGGGGUCAAAGCUGAGGCCCAGCAGGGGGCUGUUGGGAAGCCAGAAAAAGGCCACCUCUUCCUCCCACCUGCUCAUUCCCUGGUCCACUCCUCAAGCCUCCAGACGUGCGGCUUGCCAGGGAGACCUGGCUGAAAUGGAAGGGGCUGCAAGUGUCCAGAGUCCUAGCCACGACGGACAGGCUGUCUGCCACAGGCAAGAUGGAAGAAUCUCCCCCAAGGAAGACCAGCCUCUGAAAGAGAAGGGGGGCGAUCGCCAUUCCUCCGAAAGACACAGAGAAAAAGGAAGCCUGGAGACCCGAGAGGGCUCUCGGAGCAAAGCAGUGCACACCAGGCACAAGCGGAGCAGAAGCCCCACUGGCUGUCCUGACAGGCGGGGCCUCCACAGCAAAGACAAGAAGAGGCAGGGACCACCCUCCCCAGCCCAGGCGAGAGCUAAGGACCGGUUUUUCUCCUCCAGAGCAGGACUUGACCGCAGAGGAGGUUCUGCCCACACGCCUCGGCGCCCGGCCCGGCCCGCCUCUCCCAAGCCUCGUCGCGGAUCCUCGUGUCCCGAAGCCCGCGUGCCCGCGGCGGCGCUCGCGUCCGAGCUCUGCAACCAGAUGGGCGCCCUGCAGGUGGCCCUGGGCGAGCUGCGGGCCCCGGGGGGCGCCUACCUGCCGGUGCCCUCCCGCUGCACCGAGCCCACGGCCUCGCAGCGCGCCUGGCUCACCUGGCAGCUGGCGCACGCGGGCGCCGCCCUGCACUGGGCGCUGGCUGCGCUGGACUCCCUGCUCGCCGCGGGGCCCGUGCCCGCCUGCCCGCAGCCCUCCUGGCCCUGGGGGCCCUGGCCUGAGGGGGGCCAGCCCCACGCUCCCCGCCCAACUGCGGGCGGGUCCCUUCAGGCCUCUGAGCCAACCAGACUCUGCAUGUCGCCUUCCUCGCAGCAGCAUCUUGCACCCCGAGGUGAACGCGAGCUACCCCAACAGGGGACAGAAAUCCCCUUGUCCUUGGAGCCAGGUUCAGCCCGGGCCAGAGGAAGGCUCCUGCCUCAUCCCAGCUCAGGAACAUGGGUCCACGUUUCCAGAAGACAGCCUGCCAGGAGGAGCGUUCAGAUGUAGACACUUCUUUUCUUCGGAGGCUCAGAUUGCCUGUCUUAGUGAUGUGAUAUGUGCCUUUUCACCAGUGUCCUCCUGUUGUCUUUGAAAAGUAGAAUGCCCUAUGCAUAUAUGGAUAGAUAGAUAGAUAGAUAGAUAGAUAGAUAGAUAGAUAGACAGACAGAUAGAUAAAUAGAUAAUGAUAGAGAUUUAGUAAGAUGUGUAUAUUUUGUAUCUUGUUAGUGAUAUAGAGAUAUUACUGCCUUGGCCUCCACAGCAAGGAAUAAUUAUGUUUGGGGUUGUCACAAGAGAUAAGUUUUCUUCCAAGUGAAUGCUAGAACCUUCCUUUAGCAAGUCUCUAGGACAGAAGAACAAUCCAGAUUAUGUGAUGGAAUAUUGCAGUUUUUGGUUUUGAAAUUAAAGUCACGUGUUUCUUUAUUCUUGGAUCAUUAUGUUCUACAUGAGUCACAAUAAAAAUUUUUUUGAUAUUGC
rnacentral:lncRNA from 9 species